rnacentral:rRNA from 1 species
CCUACUGGAGGCAGCAGUGGGGAAUAUUGGGCAAUGGGCGCAAGCCUGCCCCAGCAACGCCGCGUGAAGGAAGAAGGCUUUCGGGUUGUAAACUUCUUUUGUCAGGGAAGAGUAGAAGACGGUACCUGACGAAUAAGCCACGGCUAACUACGUGCCAGCAGCCGCGGUAAUACGUAGGUGGCAAGCGUUGUCCGGAUUUACUGGGUGUAGAGGGCGUGUAGACGGGUUGACAAGUCAGAUGUGAAAUCCUGCGGCUUAACCGCAGAACUGCAUUUGAUACUGUUGAUCUUGAGUACUGGAGAGGCAGGCGGAAUUCCUAGUGUAGCGGUGAAAUGCGUAGAUAUUAGGAGGAACACCAGUGGCGAAGGCGGUCUGCUGGACAGCAACUGACGUUGAGGCGCGAAAGCGUGGGGAGCAAACAGGAUUAGAUACCCCUGUAGUC